GCGCCCAUAGCUCAGUUGGUAGAGCGACUCCCUCUUAAGGAGAUGGUCCCUGGUUCGAGUCCAGGUGGGCGCACCA
rnacentral:tRNA from 2 species